AACGAACGCUGGCGGCAUGCCUAACACAUGCAAGUCGAACGAGACCUUCGGGUCUAGUGGCGCACGGGUGCGUAACGCGUGGGAAUCUGCCCUUGGGUUCGGAAUAACAGUUAGAAAUGACUGCUAAAUACCGGAUAAUGUCUUCGGACCAAAGAUUUAUCGCCCAGGGAUGAGCCCGCGUAGGAUUAGCUAGUUGGUGAGGUAAAGGCUCACCAAGGCGACGAUCCUUAGCUGGUCUGAGAGGAUGAUCAGCCACGCUGGGACUGAGACACGGCCCAGACUCCUACGGGAGGCAGCAGUGGGGAAUAUUGGACAAUGGGCGAAAGCCUGAUCCAGCAAUGCCGCGUGAGUGAUGAAGGCCUUAGGGUUGUAAAGCUCUUUUACCCGGAUGAUAAUGACAGUACCGGGAGAAUAAGCCCCGGCUAACUCCGUGCCAGCAGCCGCGU
rnacentral:rRNA from 1 species